GUCUACAGCCAUGCCACCCUGAACAAGCCUGAAGUCUGAUCUCGGAAGCUAAUAAGCAGGAUCGGGCCUGGUUAGUACUUGGAUGGGAAACUACCUAGGAAGCCCAGGUGCUGUAGGCA
rnacentral:rRNA from 1 species